rnacentral:rRNA from 1 species
UACGGAGGAUGCAAGCGUUAUCCGGAAUUAUUGGGCGUAAAGCGUCCGUAGGUGGCUUAUCAAGUCAGUUGUUAAAGCGCGAGGCUUAACCUCGUAAGGGCGAUUGAAACUGAUAGGCUUGAGUUUGGUAGGGGCAAGGGGAAUUCCCAGUGUAGCGGUGAAAUGCGUAGAUAUUGGGAAGAACACCGGUGGCGAAAGCGCCUUGCUGGGCCUGAACUGACACUGAGGGACGAAAGCUAGGGGAGCGAAAGGG